rnacentral:rRNA from 1 species
UUGAGGCGGAGCGGAUGGAAGCUGAAGGAUAGGGCCGCAUAGUGAAACUCUGGGAUUUGAGGGGGGCCCGCACAAGCGGGGGAUUUGUGUUUUUUUCGAUGCAACGCGAAGAACCUUCCCUGGUCUUGAUUCUGCGGAAUUUUCCUGAAAUGGAUUGGUGCCUUCGGGAGCCGGGAGACAGGUGCUGCAUGGUUGUCGUCAGCUCGUGUCGUGAGAUGUUGGGUUAAUUCCCGCAACGAGCGCACCCCUUGUCCUUAUUUGCCAGCACGUAAUGGUGGGAUCUUUAAGGAUACUGCCGGUGACAAAUCGGAGGAAGGGGGGGAUGACGUCUAGUCAUCAUGGCCCUUACGACCAGGGCUACACACGUACUACUAUGGUAGGGACAGAGGGCUGCCAUCUCCCGAGGGUGAGCUAAUCCCAAUAAACCCUAUCUCCUCCGGAUUGUGUUCUGCUCCUCGACUCCUUGAAGCCGGAAUCGCUAGUAAUCGCAGAUCAUCAUUGCUGCGGUAAAUACGUUCCCGGGCCUUGUACACACCGCCCGACACACCAUGUGAGUUUGUUACACCUGAAGCUGGUUCUUACCUGCGGGGAUAGGUU